CCUCAGUAGUUAGAUAACAAAACUACUCGCCAGAAUACUACAAGCUAUAGCUUAAAACUCAAAGGACUUGACGGUGCUUUACACCCCCUAGAGGAGCCUGUUCCGUAAUCGAUAAACCCCGAUCCACCCCACCCUCUCUUGCUCAGCCUAUAUACCGCCAUCUUCAGCAAACCCUAAUGAGGGUCACAAAGUGAGCGCAAAUGCCAUUGCCGCAAACACGUUAGGUCAAGGUGUAGCCUAUGAGACGGUAAAAAAUGGGCUACAUUUUCUACCUCAGAAAAUUCCACGAAAACCCUUAUGAAAUUUAAGAGUCCAAGGAGGAUUUAGCAGUAAAUUAAGAAUAGAGUGCUUAAUUGAACCAGGCCAUAAAGCG
rnacentral:rRNA from 1 species